rnacentral:tRNA from 1 species
GGGGUAGGGAAAGCCGCGCAGAAGGACGCCUGCUGACUCUUAAUCAGCGGGUCGGGGGUUCGAAUCCCUCCAGGCCCA